rnacentral:rRNA from 1 species
AUUGAACGCUGACGGCAGGCCUAACACAUGCAAGUCGAACGAGUGGCGGACGGGUGAGUAAUGUCUGGGAAACUGCCCGAUGGAGGGGGAUAACUACUGGAAACGGUAGCUAAUACCGCAUACCAUCGGAUGUGCACAGAUGGGAUUAGCUAGUAGGUGGGGUAAUGGGUCACCUAGGCUACGAUCCCUAGCUGGUCUGAGAGGAUGACCAGCCAACCUGGAACUCAGACACGGUCCAGACUCCUACGGGAGGCAGCAGUGGGGAAGAUUGCACAACGGGCGCAAGCCUGGUGCUGCCAUGCCGCGUGUAUGAAGAAGGCCUUCGGGUUGUAAAGUACUUUCAGCGAGGAGGCGUUACUCGCAGAAGAAGCACCGGCUAACUCCGUGCCAGCAGCCGCGGUAAUAC